CUCAAAUUCAAAGUAGCAUUUUAAACAAAGCAAUUCAGUGUGCCUUGGGUUAUUGUUGAAUAAACUGUUAAUGAACCUCAGGUUGGACACAGGGCUGAAGUGGCACCACCUUUCAUUUAAAAAAUGAUUUAUAAGUAGUCCAAACUAGGUCAAAUUAUGGACAUAUGAAGGAACGGUGGCACCAUGUUCCAGAAGAAUGUACCUAUUGCCCCCCCCCACACACACACAGUUUAUAGAAGCAUCCUGUGUGUGAAUGUGAAGGGAAAUUCCAUCUCAGAGCUGAGAGACCAGGUCCUCUGAGGUUGGUGGUCAAACCAUCCCCCACUCCUAGUAGUAGAGCUCGGGGAAUGAAUAACUACACAGGAGUCACAGGUAUCAGGUGUGUAGGGAAGCAUGUAGCAUGUAGGCACUGUAUAGUCUUCACCCUUCAUCUCUACACUUCCUGAUUGUCAAAUGUUGGCUGGUGUCUAGUAGGGGUGUUUGUAGGUUAUGUCAUGUGUGCAUGCCAAAAUUGUGCAAUCGUUCCAUUAUUAGUGCCCACGGGCUGGAAGAGAGGACUGAGUAGGCGAAGUGGAAGAAAGACAGAGUAGAACUGCCGGUUUUACUCACCCUGAUGAAGGUGACUUGUCAUCUUUGUGAUGAGAUAAUAUCGUAUCAUUUCCGUCACCAUAAAAAAAUCAAGAUGUGGCCUGAUAGCUACAUAAUUGGCUGAGCUAGAGGCACGUGUACAGUAGCGUAGUUUAUGGUUAUCCGAUUGGCCGGGGGCGCGGUUAACGCAGCAGAAAGACCCAAAAGGCUGGUUGAAGUUUGAAAGGGUUCAUUCGCAGCGGAACGCUGAACAGAUCUGUCUUACAUCAAUUUUACACAACAAACAGGAAUUCUGGUGAGAUGGUGUCAAUCUUCGCUGUGAAUGGGAUCCACGCUGACCUUUAAAGGUGAAACAAACUCAGAUCAGGUUCUGGGUCUGACCAGACAGUCCAUCACUACCACAGUCUGUCUGGGCACCCUGAAGUACACGGCGGACUGUGUAAAGCCUCAGGUACUGUAUCAAGUACUAAUGUUGCCUUUGAAUUUGGUUGUCACCUCUUCUCCAUGCAAGUGUGAGAGAGAAGUAAGGUCAGACAUUCAGAAA
rnacentral:lncRNA from 8 species